rnacentral:lncRNA from 1 species
GCCGAUGUAACUUUAGCAAAAUGAAAACUUUGAAGUCUUAAUAUUGUAGGGAACCAGAGGACCAUGGAUAAGAUGUGAACAUAAUUUGCCUUACAAAAUUGCAAUAUGGGACACUAGACAAUGUCAUUUAAAUCUGAGCAGGAUUGGUUAUCGGUCGCUCAUAUGCAGGUCAGUUUGAUUACUAUGUUUCAUGCAUGAAAAUAGAUUACAUGAUCUCAGCUAG